rnacentral:lncRNA from 1 species
UCUGUUUAGGGUUUUAAAACCCUAAUGCUGACUGAAGGAAAAGAGUUCAGUUUAGGGUUUAAAACCCUAAUGCAGACUAAACGAAAAAGUUCAGUUUAGGGUUUAAAACCCUAAUGCUGACUGAAUUGAAAAAGUUCAGUUUAGAGUUUAAAACCCUAAUGCUGACUAAAGGAAAAGAGUUUAGUUUAGGGUUUAAAACCCUAAUGCUGACUAAAUGGAAAAGAGUUCAGUUUAGGGUUUAAAACCCUAAUGCUGACUGAGUGGAAAAAGUUCAGUUUAGGGUUUAAAACCCUAAUGCUGACUAAAUGGAAAAGUUCAGUUUAGAGUUUAAAACUCUAAUGCUGACUAAAUGGAAAAGAGUUCAGUUUAGGGUUUAAAACCCUAAUGCUGACUGAGUGGAAAAGUUCAGUUUAGGGUUUAAAACCCUAAUGCUGACUGAAUGGAAAAGAGUUCAGUUUAGGGUUUAAAACCCUAAUGCUGACUAAAGGAAAAAGUUCAGCUUAGGGUUUAAAACCCUAAUGCUGACUGAAGGAAAAGAUCAGUUUAGGGUUUAAAACCCUAAUGCUGACUGAAUGGAAAAGAGUUCAGUUUAGGGUUUAAAGCCCUAAUGCUGACUGAAUGGAAAAGAGUUCAGUUAAGGGUUUAAAACCCUAAUGCUGACUAAAGGGAAGAGUUCAGUUUAGGGUUUAAAACUCUAAUGCUGACUAAAUGGAAAAGUUCAGUUUAGGGUUUAAAACCCUAAUGCUGACUGAAUGGGAAAAAGUUCAGUUUAGGGUUUAAAACCCUAAUGCUGACUGAAUGGGAAAAAGUUCAGUUUUUAGGGUUUAAAACCCUAUGCUGACUAAAUGGAAAGAGUUCAGUUUAGGGUUUAAAACCCUAAUGCUGACUAAAGGAAAAGAGUUCAGUUUAGGGUUUAAAGCCCUAAUGCUGACUAAAGGAAAAAGUUUAGUUUAGUAUUUAAAACCCUAAUGCUGACUAAAGGAAAAAGUUCAAUUUAGGAUUUAAAACUCUAAUGCUGACUAAAGGAAAGAGUUCAGUUUAGAGUUUAAAACCCUUAUGCUGACUGAAUGGAAAAGAGUUCAGUUUAGUGUUUUAAAACCCUCAUGCUGACUAAAGGAAAAGUUCAGUUUAGGAUUUAAAACCCUAAUGCUGACUAAAGGAAAAAGUUCAGUUUAGGGUUUAAAACUCUAAUGCUGACUAAAGGAAAGAGUUCAGUUUAGGGUUUAAAACCCUAAUGCUGACUGAAUGGAAAAGAGUUCAGUUUAGGGUUUUAAAACCCUAAUGCUGACUAAAGGGAAAGUUCAGUUUAGGGUUUAAAACCCUAAUACUGACUGGCUGGAAAAAUUCAGUUUAGGAUUUUAAAACCCUAAUGCUGACUGAAGGAAAAGUUCAGUUUAGGGUUUAAAACCCUAAUGCUGACUAAAGGAAAGAGUUCAGUUUAGGGUUUUAAAACCCUAAUCCUGAUUAAACGGAAAAGUUCAGUUUAGGGUUUAAAACCCUAACCCUGAUUAAAGGAAAAAGUUCAGUUUAGGGUUUAAAACCCUAAUCCUGAUUAAAGGGAAAAGUUCAGUUUAGGGUUUAAAACCCUAAUCCUGAUUAAAGGGAAAAGUUCAGUUUAGGGUUUUAAAACCCUAAUGCUGACUAAAGGGAAGAGUUCAGUUUAGGGUUUAAAACCCUAAUCCUGAUUAAAGGGAAAAGUUCAGUUUAGGGUUUAAAACCCUAAUGCUGACUAAAGGGAAAAGUUCAGUUUAGGGUUUAAAACCCUAAUGCUGACUAAAGGGAAAAGUUCAGUUUAGGGUUUAAAACCCUAAUGCUGACUAAAGGGAAAAGUUCAGUUUAGGGUUUAAAACCCUAAUCCUGAUUAAAGGAAAAAGUUCAGUUUAGGGUUAAAACCCUAAUGCUGACUAAAGGGAAAAGUUCAGUUUAGGGUUUAAACCCUAAUGCUGACUAAAGGGAAAAGUUCAGUUUAGGGUUUAAAACCCUAAUGAUGACUAAAUGGAAGAGUUCAGCUUAGGGUUUAAAACCCUAAUGCUGAUUAAAGGAAAGAGUUCAGUUUAGGGUUUAAAACGCUAAUGCUGACUAAAGGGAAAAGUUCAGUUUAGGGUUUAAAACCCUAAUGCUGACUAAAGGGAAAAGUUCAGUUUAGGGUUUAAAACUUUAAUGCUGACUAAAGGGAAGAGUUCAGUUUAAGGUUUAAAACCCUAAUGCUGACUAAAAGGAAAAGUUCAGUUUAGGGUUUAAAACCCUAAUGCUGACUAAAGGGAAAAGUUCAGUUUAGGGUUUAAAACCCUAAUCCUGAUUAAAGGGAAAAGUUCAGUUUAGGGUUUAAAACCCUAAUGCUGACUAAAGGGAAGAGUUCAGUUUAAGGUUUAAAACCCUAAUGCUGACUAAAGGAAAGAGUUCAGUUCAAGGUUUAAAACCCUAAUGCUGACUAAAGGGAAAAGUUCAGUUUAGGGUUUAAAACCCUAAUGAUGACUAAAGGGAAGAGUUCAGCUUAGGGUUUAAAACCCUAAUGCUGAUUAAAGGAAAGAGUUCAGUUUAGGGUUUAAAACGCUAAUGCUGACUAAAGGGAAAAGUUCAGUUUAGGGUUUAAAAUCUUAAUGCUGACUAAAGGGAAAAGUUCAGUUUAGGGUUUAAAACCCUAAUGCUGACUAAAGGGAAAAGUUCAGUUUAGGGUUUAAAACCCUAAUGCUGACUAAAGGGAAAAGUUCAGUUUAGGGUUUAAAACUUUAAUGCUGACUAAAGGGAAGAGUUCAGUUUAAGGUUUAAAACCCUAAUGCUGACUAAAGGGAAAAGUUCAGUUUAGGGUUUAAAACCUUAAUGCUGACUAAAGGGAAAAGUUCACUUUAGGGUUUAAAACCCUAAUGCUGACUAAAGGGAAAAAGUUUAGCUUAGGGUUUAAAACCCUAAUGCUGACUAAAGGGAAAAGUUCAGUUUAGGGUUUAAAACCCUAAUGCUGACUAAAGGGAAGAGUUCAGUUUAAGGUUUAAAACCCCAAUGCUGACUAAAGGGA